rnacentral:misc_RNA from 1 species
UUGACAAUUUGUCUUCAGCUCAGAUAACUUCUUUAAACCAGUUGAGUUUUGGGGCCAUCGGCAGGCACCAAGAAGGCCAUAGCCCCGCCCUGGGGCUGCCUGCCGAAGCAACAAUCAGGUAGAUUUACAGAGGGUUUGAGAGUUCUUAGCUCUAUAAUGAUCCCUCCGCUGGUUCACCAACGGAGA